CCAGACCGGAAGUUCUCCCCGCCCAAUUAUGGGCUUGCUGGUGGGGUCACGCGCAGAAGCUUGGUUCUGAUUGGUUGCCUCUGUAAUUUGUCCACUUCUGCGCUCUGAGAAGUUGCAGGUGGAAGUGGGCCCGAGAUGCUCUACAACCCCUGGCACCUGUGCACCGGGCCAGCGGAGCUCUCACCCAGGUGACAUGUGUCAGACCGGACUACUCCAAGCCAUCUCAUCUGUGUCCUUCCUGCUGCCACCAACACGGACUUCACUGGUUACCUUCAAGGGAAUGAAUCCACGAGUGUGAGACAGAAGUGCACAGCCCAACCAGCCCCGUGUCCCCUGCCCAGCUCAGUGUUUCACCUCAUUUGGCAGUCAACACAAGGAUAACCAGUGUGGGCGUGGUCCUGCCAGACUGUCCAGUACGCCAGGAACCACAGCCUGUACACGAGCGGCCCUAGGUUUGCGGCACACACCGGGUGCCUACUGCCCACAGCGCAGUUUGGGUGUCCCACUUAACGCACAGGGAUCAGGUCUAGCCCCUACCAGCACCAAGGGCAGCCAGGGAAGCAGGCUCUUAUCUGAAGCAGCCCCACACCAUACUGAGCUGGAGUGGAGUCUAGCAGGGGCUGGUCUGGACCCCCAAGCUGACUCUCUGACAUACAGUGCCCACUCAGGGUACAUAGACACACACACACACACAAAAACAACAAACAAACAAACAAACAAAAAACAAAACAAAAAACAAAAAAAAACCCCACAAAAAACCAAAAACAACAACAAAAAACCAAAACAAACCAAACCAACAAACAAAAACAAAACAAAACAAAAAAACUGACUUCUUUGUCCUCAUAGAUUUAAGGCUUGUAUUUCCUGAUAGUUGCUUCAGUUUGUUUUUUCUUUGAUGUCAAAAUUACCUGAGUAAAAAACUUUUUGACAUUAAAAAACAAAACAAAACCAAAAUCAAAACAAACCACAGAC